rnacentral:rRNA from 1 species
AUGUAUGCAUUGGACCCUAAAGACUUGAAGCCAUUGAAUAGCUGCUGCGAUGCUCAGAUUUCUGUUUUUGGUUCUAAGCUUCAGAAGAAGAUGCGAGACUCUAAUAUUUUUGUUGUGGGAUCUGGUGCUCUUGGAUGUGAAUUCUUGAAGAACUUUGCUUUAAUGGGGCUUUCUUGUGGGCUAACUAUAACAGAUGAUAAUGUCAUUGAGAAAAGCAACUUGAGCCGGCAAUUCUGUUUCGUGAUUGGAGCACUGGACAGGCAAAAUCUACAGUAUCCGCUACAGCUGCUAGUGCUAUCAACUCCAGCUUCCAUAUUGAUGCUUUGCAGAAUCGUGCCUGUCCAGAGACUUGUUUUCAAUGAUGCAUUCUGGGAGGGCCUUGAUGCUGUCAUCAAUGCACUUGAUAAUGUAAAUGCCAGGAUGUACAUGGACAUGGGAUGCCUGUACUUCCAGAAACCACUCUUGGAAUCUUGA